GUCCCUGUGGCGCAAUGGAUAGCGCGUUGGACUUCUAAUCCAAAGGUCGUCGGUUCAAACCCUACUUGGGAUG